rnacentral:lncRNA from 1 species
CACAACGUCCCCUAUCGUGUCGUCGCAGUGUCAUUUUUGCUUCUCCCCUGUUUUUCCGUCGCGUCACCGUGACAUCGUAUGGCUCUUUGUCACGAUGUCGCUCUCUGUUUGUCUUAAUUUGACUGAAAUGCGAGGCAUACUCCAUAUGGAAUAAAAUUGUAACACCCCAUACUUGAACCGAUCUCCAAGUCCGAGCUCUAGGAUGCCACAUUUGUUUCAGAAGUAACUAUGAUCAAAUAUAAUUCAAUUUAACUAUGAAUACAUACUAAUAAUUAUAUUACUCAUUUAAAAUAUAUUAUACAAUUAUUUACAGGUCUUAUACGAUCUUACGGAAGCUCUUAAGUUAACUCGAGAUCGAAUAGAGACCAAAUUGUAAAAUUUGCAAACUAUAGGUUGAUGUCGCGACUUUGAGGGUUCCUUAUCAUGAUGCAACUCACUAACUUGAUUUGAUUGCAGCUUUAAGGGGUCUGAUGUAGUGACGUGACUUGGUUUGCGACGGAAUGUGCAAGUAUACACAGCCAGUAUUCCCUGCUCAUAGUCAUAGCACAUGAAGUAAUCUUUGAACCCACAUAGUUGUUAUCGGAUUAGCUCAAUCACCAGGAUGAAGAAGUCACCGAUUAGCGAAUCUUCACUCUCUAGGAGUAGGACCAUCUCAAUCAAGCUUGAGAGGAACCCUUCACAUCUUCCUUUCUUUAUUGAAUUCCCUGCCUCAUCCCUCUUUAGAUAGACUGGAAUCAAAGAGCAAUAAAAGAAUACUGGGAGUAUGAAGUAUGAACAGACUCUCCUACAGCUAAGCCAACCUGUACUGUACAUCCCUAUCAUCCCCUGCCAAUAGGCAUUUCACCCUUCCUUUCAAUAGGAGAUGCCUUUAGUAACUCUCUGACUGCACCCAGAAUCUGGUUAUGUAGCGCGCAUCGGUUAGUCCUCUUAGCUACACCAUGAACUAAGCCAUCAGUCUAGCUUUCCCAUGGUCUAUCCUUUGAACCCUGAAUCCCGCCUUUUAGCUCUUCCUUCUGCAUCGAAGAAGUCCUCUUUCUGAACCAGGAAUGGAAGAAUCCCCGGACCAAGUCUCAUAGUGCUAGUUCACGAAAAGCAAUAGGAGGAGGAAGCAUCACCGGCUUCGUUCGUAUGAAUGAUUGUCCUAUUCUAAUUGAAAAGAACGGAUAUGCCGCUAAUCCAAGUCCCACAAAGGAAGAGCUUUCUCACAGGAAUUUCCUUUCUUUCUGGGGGGCUACCCCUCUUUCUAGUAGUCGGGUGGCUCACACACCUUGAUGAUUGGAUGAUAGUCCUUCUACCUAGUUAUCCCAAUAGAACUAAGAUCUGUGCCUCCCGUCUACAGCCUAGGAAGUGGGUAUGGCCCAUACACCAUCAAUAGGCUAGCUCUAUAAACUUUGACCAGUCUAACCGAGGUAAGGUAGAGAAACCAAAAAGUAUGUAUGAAAAAGGUGUAAUGUGUGCUAAAUGCCAACUACUAAACUAUAGUCUUAUGGAUAAGGCUAUCAAGUAUUGGUUAGAGUGGUAGAAAGAUUGAGAAACUAAACCCAUCAAACCUAUGAAUUCAUUGAAUGGUAGUUCAGAUUCUUAUCGCCUGUCUCGGCCAUAGAGAUAGAGGUCUCAAAGUGCAGCAGCUCGACCUGAGGGGGAUUUUUCCCAGCCAUGAAAGCGGAAUGAAACUAUAACACUGCGGAAUCAGAGAUUCAAUUGGCAGACUAAGGAGCUCUACCCAAACUUGACUUUCUUUAAAGUAAAUAAAGACAGGAUUAGUCGGAUGAAUGGUUAUAAACUUUCCUCUGGAAAUGAGCUAUCCGGCGAACAGCAGCGGAGACUAGAUAAUCUUUGAUACAAUUUCCUAUU